rnacentral:tRNA from 1 species
CGUUAGCUCAGCUGGUAGAGCAGUUGGCUUUUAACCAAUUGGUCGCUGGUUCGAAUCCAGCACGG